GAUGAACGCUGGCGGCGUGCUUAACACAUGCAAGUCGAACGGUGAAGCGCCUUCCUUUUUGGUGGGUGUGGAUGAGUGGCGAACGGGUGAGUAACACGUGAGUAACCUGCCCCCUUCUUCUGGAUAACCGCAUGAAAGUGUGGCUAAUACGGGAUAUUCUGGGUCUGUCGCAUGAUGGGUCUGGGAAAGAUAUUGUUUCGGUGGGGGAUGGGCUCGCGGCCUAUCAGCUUGUUGGUGGGGUGAUGGCCUACCAAGGCGGUGACGGGUAGCCGGCCUGAGAGGGUGGACGGUCACACUGGGACUGAGACACGGCCCAGACUCCUACGGGAGGCAGCGGUGGGGAAUAUUGCACAAUGGGCGCAAGCCUGAUGCAGCGACGCCGCGUGAGGGAUGGAGGCCUUCGGGUUGUGAACCUCUUUCGCCAGUGAAGCAGGCCUGCCUCGUUUGUGGGUGGGUUGACGGUAGCUGGAUAAGAAGCGCCGGCUAACUACGUG
rnacentral:rRNA from 1 species